rnacentral:rRNA from 1 species
GAUGAACGCUGGCGGCGUGCCUAAUACAUGCAAGUCGAGCGAACAGACGAGGAGCUUGCUCCUCUGACGUUUUCGGCGGACGGGUGAGUAACACGUGGAUAACCUACCUUUACGACUGGGAUAACUUCGGGAAACCGGCUCUAAUACCGUAUAAUAUAUUGAACCGCAUUGUUCAAUAAUGAAAGACGGUUUUUCUGUUACUUAUUGAUGGUUCCUCGCCUCAUUUGCUUGUUGGUAAGGUAACGGCUUACCAAGACAACGAUGCGUAGCCGACCUGAGAGGGGGAUCGGCAACACUGGAACUGAGAAACGGUCAAGACUCCUAGGGAAGGAAGAAGAAGGGAAUCUUGGGAAAGGGGCGAAAGCCGGACGGGGAAACGCGGGGGGAGUGAGGAAGGUCUUCGGAUCGAAAAACUCUGUGAAUAAGGAAGAAGAAAUGGGGAAGUAAAAAUGCACGUCGUGACGGUACCUAAUCAGAAAGCCACGGCUAACUACGUG